UAUGCUUGUUAUAGUGCAUGUGUGU
rnacentral:misc_RNA from 1 species